UGAGGAAUAUUGCGCAAUGGGGGCAACCCUGACGCAGCGACGCCGCGUGAGUGAGGAAGGCCUUCGGGUCGUAAAGCUCUGUCAAAGGGGAAGAAGUGCAUGGUGGUUAAUAUCUGUCAUGUUUGACGGUACCCUUAAAGGAAGCACCGGCUAACUCCGUGCCAGCAGCCGCGGUAAUACGGAGGGUGCAAGCGUUGUUCGGAAUCACUGGGCGUAAAGGGCGCGCAGGCGGUUUGAAUAGUCAGAUGUG
rnacentral:rRNA from 1 species